UACGUAGGGGGCAAGCGUUGUCCGGAAUCAUUGGGCGUAAAGAGCGUGUAGGCGGCCCGAUAAGUCCGCUGUGAAAGUCCAGGGCUCAACCCUGGGAUGCCGGUGGGUACUGUCGGGCUCGAGUCCGGAAGAGGAGUGUGGAAUUCCUGGUGUAGCGGUGAAAUGCGCAGAUAUCAGGAGGAACACCCGUAGCGAAGGCGGCACUCUGGGCCGAUACUGACACUGAGGAGCGAAAGCGUGGGGAGCGAACAGG
rnacentral:rRNA from 1 species